CCUACGGGGGGCAGCAGUGAGGAAUAUUGGUCAAUGGCCGAGAGGCUGAACCAGCCAAGUAGCGUGCGGGAAGACGGCCCUACGGGUUGUAAACCUCUUUUGUAGGGGAGUAAAACGAUUCACGUGUGACUCAUUGAGAGUACCCGAAGAAUAAGGAUCGGCUAACUCCGUGCCAGCAGCCGCGGUAAUACGGAGGAUGCGAGCGUUAUCCGGAUUUAUUGGGUUUAAAGGGUGCGCAGGGGGUGGUGAAAGUCAGCGGUAAAAUUGCGGGGCUCAACCCCGUACUGCAGUUGAAACUGCAAGCCUUGAGUGCACUAGAGGUAGGCGGAAUGCGUGGUGUAGCGGUGAAAUGCAUAGAUAUCACGAAGAACCCCGAUUGCGAAGGCAGCAUACCGGACUGCGACUGACGCUGAUGCACGAAAGUGUGGGUAUCAAACAGGAUUAGAUACCCGUGUAGUC
rnacentral:rRNA from 1 species